CAAGACCUUGCGUUAUUCGAGCGGCCGACGUCUGAUUAGCUAGUUGGUGGGGUAAUGGCUCACCAAGGCGACGAU
rnacentral:rRNA from 1 species